rnacentral:lncRNA from 10 species
AAUCAAGCCUGGGCAAUGGCGGGCGCCCCUCCCCCAGCCUCGCUGCCGCCUUGCAGUUUGAUCUCAGACUGCUGUGCUAGCAAUCAGCGAGACUCCCUGGGCAUAGGACCCUACGAGCCAGGUGCGGGAUAUAAUCUCGUGUUGCACCGUUUUUUAAGCCUGUCGGAAAAGCGCAGUAUUCUGGUGGGAGUGACCCGAUUUUCCAGGUGCCGUCCAUCACUCCUUUCUUUGACUCAGAAAGGGAACUCCCUGACCCCUUGCGCUUCCCAAGUGAGGCAAUGCCUCGCCCUGCUUCGGCUCGCGCACGGUGCACGCACCCACUGACCUGCGCCCACUGUCUGGCACUCCCUAGUGAGAUGAACCCGGUACCUCAGAUGGAAAUGCAGAAAUCACCCGUCUUCUGCGUCGCUCACGCUGGGAGCUGUAGACCGGAGCUGUUCCUAUUCGGCCAUCUUGGCUCCUCCCUCUGAAGAGUCCAACAGAAAAUUUUAAGUACCUGUUUAAAGCAAUUUACAAGAUACUGUGGAGAUUCCCAGCAAUAAAGAAUGUACUAUAGUUAAGCUGGAAUCCAACUCCUGAAUUUCUGGAGCCCUGAAGACCACUUAGUCUUACUCACAAGAAUUGAAUGGAAUGUGAAUCUACACUCAGGUGAAGCCAGGGUAUUUUGAACGUCCCUACAAGACUGAAGCACCACUGGGAAAUAAGUAAUAGAGAUGCCAUCAUUGUGGAGGUCAUAAUGCUUGUCCUGAACACGAGGGGUCUCUAGUGAGGCACCAAUUCAGCUCCUCUUCUGUGGAGAGACUACAUGGGUGCUGAAGAAACAAAGACACAACGCAGCUCCUCUCAAAGGAGUUCAGAGCUUAGCAGGGGAGACAGAACCAUGAAUGCAUAGUUACGCAUCAAUGUGCUGCACGAGCACUGAAGCCCAAGCACAAGCGGCCUGAGUCCCAAAAACAUUUGCUGACUGCUGUUCUAUCUAGGAUAUCAUCAGUGUGUAGAUGAUCAGAGUUCAUGUCAGUGUUCCUACAAGCCAAUGAAGGCAUUGCGCAAUUCAGCCUUGCGGUUUUCGUUUCUUUGACUUCGUGAUGUGAGGGAAGCUGGCAUGUUUUCUAAUGUGCUGUUGUGUGGGCUUGGGCUGUUGAUUGCUUUUGGCCUAGGUGCUGUGCAGAGCUCCAAGGUUUGGCUUUGUAAACGCUGCCUGGCAAAACGGAAACAUUUUGUGAAAUUUGACAAAUGUCACACACACCCGCACACACACACAUUUUAAAUUGCAAAAUUCUCCCCUUGGCACACAGUUUUCCCCGGG